CCCUCUAAGAAGUUGAAAUAUGACCAAAGCCAUUUCCUACUAGUUAAUAUAAUCACAAGGAUGAGGUCUCGUUCGUUAUCCGAAUAAACCAAACGAACCAGCACUCCACCACUGCCAACGGGAAAUGCACCACACCCAUAAAAAUCAAUAAAGAGCUGAUCUGUCUCUUCUCCCCUAUAUCCUUUCGAUGGUAGUUUCUGCGACUACCAUGGUUGUCACGGGUAACGGGGAAUCAGGGUUCGAUUCCGGAGAGGGAGCCUGAGAAACGGCUACCACAUCCAAGGAAGGCAGCAGGCGCGCAAAUUACCCACUCCCGGCACGGGGAGGUAGUGAAA
rnacentral:rRNA from 1 species